rnacentral:tRNA from 1 species
GGGCGGUUAGCUCAGUUGGCCAGAGCGCCUGCCUUACACGCAGGAUGUCGCAGGUUCAAAUCCUGCACCGCCCACUA